AGAACUCUGAAAAGGAGCUGCAAACGUCGAGGUUCAGAGGAACCAGGAAUCCUGGCCUGCCAUCCGUACAGCCUGCUGACCUCCAGGUGGAUGUGUGAAGCAAGGAGCUGUGCCCUGGAAGCCCCAGAUGAGUGUGUGGGUCAUGUGCUGCAAGCUCCCAGUGCUGAAAUACCGCUUCAGAUGCUUAACGUGUUCUGAACUGUUUGUUUUUCAAGGUUGCAGGGGUCCGUUUCCGUGCUGUCUGCCGAUGGUGCUGCCUGAAGGAAAACCAUGGAAACGGAGUUUGACAGGCUCACAGGGACCCACGGCUGCCAGAGCCGCUGCCUUUGAGCGCCUGAUGAAGACAUCACAGAGCAAACACAACAUUAAAACGCUGCUGGCUGCUUUGCAUCACUUAGAAUGCAAAUCUCUUUGUUCUGCUCGGCCCUUGCGUUUUGUAGCCGAGGAAUCUGUGCUAUCAUCUAACAUGGAUUUGCUGACCUUUCUUCCCUCGCUGUCCGUUCUCCUAAAAAAAAAAAAAUAUUUAAAAAAUAUGGUAAAAGAUCAGCUUUUGUGGGAAGGAGGGUGGCGUGGGUCUGUGCAUUUGAAAUGGCCCCAGUUUUUUUCAGUUCCUGGGAUUUCUGUGCACAAAUUAAACACCCAUAUUGCAG
rnacentral:lncRNA from 7 species